rnacentral:rRNA from 1 species
UACGUAGGGUGCGAGCGUUGUCCGGAUUUAUUGGGCGUAAAGAGCUCGUAGGCGGCUUGUUGCGUCUGCUGUGAAAUCCCGGGGCUUAACCCCGGGCGUGCAGUGGAUACGGGCAGGCUGGAGGCAGGCAGGGGAGAAUGGAAUUCCCGGUGUAGCGGUGAAAUGCGCAGAUAUCGGGAGGAACACCGGUGGCGAAGGCGGUUCUCUGGGCCUGUUCUGACGCUGAGGAGCGAAAGCAUGGGGAGCGAACAGG